rnacentral:rRNA from 1 species
GUCGACGAUGAAUCUUCUAGCUUGCUAGAAGUGGAUUAGUGGCGCACGCGUGUAGUAAUGCAUAGGUUAUGUGCCCUUUAGUCUGGGAUAGCCACUGGAAACGGUGAUUAAUACUGGAUACUCCCUACGGGGGAAAGUUUUUCGCUAAAGGAUCAGCCUAUGUCCUAUCAGCUUGUUGGUGAGGUAAUGGCUCACCAAGGCUAUGACGGGUAUCCGGCCUGAGAGGGUGAUCGGACACACUGGAACUGAGACACGGUCCAGACUCCUACGGGAGGCAGCAGUAGGGAAUAUUGCUCAAUGGGGGAAACCCUGAAGCAGCAACGCCGCGUGGAGGAUGAAGGUUUUAGGAUUGUAAACUCCUUUUGUUAGAGAAGAUUAUGACGGUAUCUAACGAAUAAGCACCGGCUAACUCCGUGCCAGCAGCCGCGGUAAUACGGAGGGUGCAAGCGUUACUCGGAAUCACUGGGCGUAAAGAGUGCGUAGGCGGGGUAAUAAGUCAGAUGUGAAAUCCUGUAGCUUAACUACAGAACUGCAUUUGAAACUGUUACUCUGGAGUGUGGGAGAGGUAGGUGGAAUUCUUGGUGUAGGGGUAAAAUCCGUAGAGAUCAAGAGGAAUACUCAUUGCGAAGGCGACCUGCUGGAACAUUACUGACGCUGAUGCACGAAAGCGUGGGGAGCAAACAGGAUUAGAUACCCUGGUAGUCCACGCCCUAAACGAUGGAUGCUAGUUGUUGCCUUGCUUGUCAGGGCAGUAAUGCAGCUAACGCAUUAAGCAUCCCGCCUGGGGAGUACGGUCGCAAGAUUAAAACUCAAAGGAAUAGACGGGGACCCGCACAAGCGGUGGAGCAUGUGGUUUAAU